GACGAACGCUGGCGGCGUGCUUAACACAUGCAAGUCGAACGGAAAGGCCCUGCUUUUGUGGGGUGCUCGAGUGGCGAACGGGUGAGUAACACGUGAGUAACCUGCCCUUGACUUUGGGAUAACUUCAGGAAACUGGGGCUAAUACCGGAUAGGAGCUCCUGCUGCAUGGGGGGGGUUGGAGAGUUUCGGCGGUUGGGGAUGGACUCGCGGCUUAUCAGCUUGUUGGUGGGGUAGUGGCUUACCAAGGCUUUGACGGGUAGCCGGCCUGAGAGGGUGACCGGCCACAUUGGGACUGAGAUACGGCCCAGACUCCUACGGGAGGCAGAAGUGGGGAAUAUUGCACAAUGGGCGGAAGCCUGAUGCAGCAACGCCGCGUGCGGGAUGACGGCCUUCGGGUUGUAAACCGCUUUCGCCUGUGACGAAGCGUGAGUGACGGUAAUGGGUAAAGAAGCACCGGCUAACUACGUG
rnacentral:rRNA from 1 species